AAAUAUAUUAUUAACUAAAAGUUUAAUAAUAAUCAUAACAACAAUUGUAAUUCAAAUCAUAACUAUACCGAUUUGCUAAUCGCGGGUGAUUAAAUGUUUUUUUUUUGUUGAGGAUGAAAAUUGGAUUUCAUAGAAGAGAAGAAGUGGCUAUCUCAACCAUUACAAGCGACACAAAAGGAUGAGGAAUAUCCUCAAUCCAAACUUGCUCCUCCAUAUUAGCAGAGAGCGCAUAUUUAGCAAUGAUAUGAGCUAAACUAUCACUACUUGCCACAAGAAAUCUGAAACUCAAUUAAAACAUCUAAUAAAGUUUGGACUUUCAACAAUCUAGCGCCCAAAUCAGAAAGAGGAAACUCCAUACUUAAAAACUAUAGUAACUAAAUUCAAACAAUCAGACUCCAAGUGAACUUUGGAGAAGCCCAAGUCAAUAGAUUUUGUCAAAUCAAACAGCAUAGCUUCCGCUUCUGCAUUUUUCGGUGAUGAUGAAUAGUUGAGUGAGCCGCUGGAACCCCGAUGUCAUGACCUCCCCCUUACGGUUCGUCGCUACCAUACCCAGGCCACAUCGAGUGUCCUGCUGGAUCCCAAUAUCACAAUUGAUUUUAAUUAUCCCCUCCAUAGGGGCCAUCCAAGUGUGAGGAGCUUGUGUAGCUGGUCUCGCUGUCGUAGCAUCAUGAUGAACGCUAUCAGCUGGUACUUCCAUACUCUGCUGAAAUUCAUAGAGCAGAGAGACCGCCUACUGAGUUACCUGCAUAUGAGACAUAUGUUUACUUUGGCAAACAAGCAAGUUACCUUUGCGCCAGAUUCCCCAUGCUAUCAUAAAGAGGAGCUCAGUUUGUUCAUCAGUCAUGGGUGUGGAAAGCUCCAUUAACCAAUCUUUA
rnacentral:lncRNA from 1 species